CGUGGAUCGAUUUGUCUGGUUUAUUCCGAUAACGAGCGAGACUCUAGCCUACUAAAUAGUAACGAGAUUGCCAUUGUCUUAGUUGCUUCUUAGAGGGAUUUUCGGUGUUUAGCCGCACGAGAUUGAGCAAUAACAGGUCUGUGAUGCCCUUAGAUGUCCGGGGCUGCACGCGCGCUACACUGGCAAAAUCAGCGUGCUGUAUCCAUUCUCGAAAGGGAUUGGUAAACCCAUGAAAAUUUGCCGUGAUUGGGAUCGGAAAUUGCAAUUAUUUUCCGUGAACGAGGAAUUCCAAGUAAGUGCGAGUCAUCAACUCGCUCUGAAUACGUCCCUGCCCUUUGUAC
rnacentral:rRNA from 1 species